GAGACACCCGUAUGGGGCAGGACAUGAUUCAGUGGGGCUUCAGCACUCACUGAGUCUGUCCCCUGAGUGUGUCUCU
rfam:Myotis lucifugus cont2.46337, whole genome shotgun sequence.